rnacentral:rRNA from 1 species
UACGUAGGUGACAAGCGUUGUCCGGAUUUACUGGGCGUAAAGAGCGCGCAGGCGGUCGAUCAAGUCGAGUGUGAAAGCCCCCGGCUCAACUGGGGAGGGUCAUUCGAUACUGAUCGACUCGAAGGCAGGAGAGGGUGGUGGAAUUCCCGGUGUAGUGGUGAAAUGCGUAGAGAUCGGCAGGAACACCAGUGGCGAAGGCGGCCACCUAGCCCGCACCUGACGCUGAGGCGCGACAGCGUGGGGAGCGAACUGG